rnacentral:rRNA from 1 species
UCGGGAAUCUUGCACAAUGGGCGAAAGCCUGAUGCAGCAACGCCGUGUGAGCGAGGAAGGUCUUCGGAUCGUAAAGCUCUGUUGUUGGGGACGAAGGGCGAAGGGCUAAUAGCCCCUAGCCUGACGGUACCCUUCGAGGAAGCCCCGGCUAACUACGUGCCAGCAGCCGCGGUAAUACGUAGGGGGCGAGCGUUGUCCGGAAUUAUUGGGUUUAAAGGGUACGUAGGCGGAUUGCUAAGUCUGUGGUGAAAGCUCUCGGCUCAACCGGGAAAUUGCCAUGGAUACUGGUAGUCUUGAGUACAGUUGAGGUGGGCGGAAUUCAUGGUGUAGCGGUGAAAUGCAUAGAUACCAUGAGGAACGCCGAUAGGGAAGCCAGCUCACUGGACUGUAACUGACGCUGAGGUACGAAAGCGUGGGGAGCGAACAGGAUUAGAUACCCCUGUAGUCC